GUUUGAUCAUGGCUCAGGAUGAACGCUGGCGGCGUGCUUAACACAUGCAAGUCGAGCGAAGCGGUUUCGAUGAAGUUUUCGGAUGGAUUUGAAAUUGACUUAGCGGCGGACGGGUGAGUAACGCGUAGGUAACCUGCCUUGUAGCGGGGGAUAACUAUUGGAAACGAUAGCUAAUACCGCAUAACAAUGGAUGACCCAUGUCAUUUAUUUGAAAGGGGCAAAUGCUCCACUACAAGAUGGACCUGCGUUGUAUUAGCUAGUAGGUGAGGUAACGGCUCACCUAGGCGACGAUACAUAGCCGACCUGAGAGGGUGAUCGGCCACACUGGGACUGAGACACGGCCCAGACUCCUACGGGAGGCAGCAGUAGGGAAUCUUCGGCAAUGGGGGCAACCCUGACCGAGCAACGCCGCGUGAGUGAAGAAGGUUUUCGGAUCGUAAAGCUCUGUUGUAAGUCAAGAACGAGUGUGAGAGUGGAAAGUUCACACUGUGACGGUAGCUUACCAGAAAGGGACGGCUAACUACGUGCCAGCAGCCGCGGUAAUACGUAGGUCCCGAGCGUUGUCCGGAUUUAUUGGGCGUAAAGCGAGCGCAGGCGGUUUGAUAAGUCUGAAGUUAAAGGCUGUGGCUCAACCAUAGUUCGCUUUGGAAACUGUCAAACUGAGUGCAGA
rnacentral:rRNA from 1 species